rnacentral:tRNA from 1 species
AACGUGCGUUGCGCACCUCCCGGUGCGCAGGCAACGGAUACUUCCGCUCCUAACGGGGAGACGCGGGUUCGAAUCCCGCCGCCG